rnacentral:rRNA from 1 species
UGGCCUACGGGUGGCAGCAGUAGGGAAUAUUGGGCAAUGGAGGAAACUCUGACCCAGCCAUGCCGCGUGCAGGAAGAAGGCCCUCUGGGUUGUAAACUGCUUUUGAUAGGGAAGAAAGAGGUUAUGCGUAACCAGUUGACGGUACCUAUCGAAUAAGCACCGGCUAACUACGUGCCAGCAGCCGCGGUAAUACGUAGGGUGCAAGCGUUGUCCGGAUUUAUUGGGUUUAAAGGGUGCGUAGGCGGUGAAUUAAGUCAGUGGUGAAAGACGAUCGCUCAACGAUUGCAGUGCCAUUGAUACUGGUUCACUUGAGUAAUGCAGAGGUGGCCGGAAUUGACCGUGUAGCGGUGAAAUGCAUAGAUAUGGUCAAGAACACCGAUUGCGAAGGCAGGUCACUGGACAUUUACUGACGCUGAGGCACGAAAGUGUGGGGAUCAAACAGGAUUAGAUACCCGAGUAGUCU